UACGUAGGGGGCAAGCGUUGUCCGGAUUUAUUGGGCGUAAAGAGCGUGUAGGCGGCCAGGUAGGUCCGGUGUGAAAACUCGAGGCUUAACCUCGAGAUGUCAUCGGAAACCAUCUGGCUAGAGUCCGGAAGAGGAGAGUGGAAUUCCUGGUGUAGCGGUGAAAUGCGCAGAUAUCAGGAAGAACACCAAUGGCGAAAGCAGCUCUCUGGGACGGUACUGACGCUGAGACGCGAAAGCGUGGGGAGCGAACAGG
rnacentral:rRNA from 1 species